rnacentral:rRNA from 1 species
UACGGAGGGUGCAAGCGUUAUCCGGAUUCACUGGGCGUAAAGGGUGCGUAGGUGGUGAGGUAAGUCGGAUGUGAAAGCUCGGAGCUCAACUCCGAAAUGGCAUUGGAAACUACCUUGCUCGAGGGUUGGAGGGGGGACUGGAAUACUUGGUGUAGCAGUGAAAUGCGUAGAUAUCAAGUGGAACACCAGUGGCGAAGGCGAGUCCCUGGACAACUCCUGACACUGAGGCACGAAAGCUAGGGGAGCAAACAGG